rnacentral:tRNA from 1 species
UGGCUCAGUUGGUAGAGCAUGGCACUUGCAAUGCCAGGGUUGUGGGUUUGAUUCCUAU